AUUGAACGCUGGCGGCAGGCCUAACACAUGCAAGUCGAGCGAGCGGCGGACGGGUGAGUAAUGUAUGGGGAACUGCCCGAUAGAGGGGGAUAACUACUGGAAACGGUGGCUAAUACCGCAUACUAUCGGAUGAACCCAGAUGGGAUUAGCUAGUAGGUGGGGUAAAGGCGCACUUGGGCGAAGAGCCCUCGCUGGUCUGAGAGGAUGAUCAGGCACCCUGGGACUGGGCAACGGCCCAGACUCCUACGGGAGGCAGCAGUGGGGAAUAUUGCACAAUGGGUGCAAGCUUGAUGCAGCCAUGCCGCGUGUAUGAAGAAGGCCUUAGGGUUGUAAAGUACUUUCAGCGAGGAGGCGUUACCCGCAGAAGAAGCACCGGCUAACUCCGUGCCAGCAGCCGCGGUAAUUC
rnacentral:rRNA from 1 species